rnacentral:rRNA from 1 species
GACGAACGCUGGCGGCGUGCUUAACACAUGCAAGUCGAACGAGUGGCGAACGGGUGAGUAACACGUGGGUGACCUGCCCUGCACUUCGGGAUAAGCCUGGGAAACUGGGUCUAAUACCGGAUAGUGUGGGAUGGGCCCGCGGCCUAUCAGCUUGUUGGGGGGGUAAUGGCUACCAAGGCGCGACGGGUAGCCGGCCUGAGAGGGUGGACGGCCAAAUUGGUACAGAGAACCGGGCCAGACUCCUACGGGAGGCAGCAGUGGGGAAUCUUCCGCAAUGGACGAAAGUCUGACGGAGCAACGCCGCGUGAGUGAUGACGGCCUGCGGGUUGUAAAGCUCUGUUAAUCGGGACGCGGUACCGGAAUAGAAAGCCACGGCUAACUACGUGCCAGCAGCCGCGGUAAUUC